rnacentral:rRNA from 2 species
AAAGUCCUUCGGGAUGAGUAGAGUGGCGCACGGGUGAGUAACGCGUAAGUAAUCUAUCCCUGUAUCUGGAAUAACUAUGGGAAACUGUAGCUAAUACCGGAUACGUUUAUCUCUUUGCGAAUUGAUAAAGAAAGGUGACCUCUUCUUGAAAGCUACUGUACGGGGAGGAGCUUGCGUACCAUUAGCUUGUUGGUGGGGUAAUGGCCUACCAAGGCAACGAUGGUUAGCGGGUCUGAGAGGAUGAUCCGCCACACUGGAACUGGAACACGGACCAGACUCC